UUAACUUUUAACAAGGCCUUCAAAUUUUUUUCUUCCUUUUCCAUUGAGUGGUCGUCUGUUUCCACUUAUGUUUUUCCUCAUUUUGCGUCGUCGUUGACAAUUACGUUAGUCAGCAGUGACAGGCGGCGCCGGUCACAUUUGUCGGCGGCGGCAAUUUUGAUGAAUUUUCAGGCGAUUGAAUCAUAUUGCUCUGAAUCUUCAACCAGAGUUCAAUCGAAAUUGGAAAUUCCUACCAAUUGUUUGAUGAAAUGCUUCGGUGUCUCCAGAUCUAUCAGUGCAACCUCACAACUUCACAAAAUUAACGAUGAUGCUCCUGUUGGCGAAGACAUGAUGAUUGGUGUCUGGUGAUGCCGAUGCAGAUUCCUUGGUCUAAAAAUAGUGUCAUCUGAAGAGUGACAUUUCUGGCGAGUUUAAUAAGAGGACUAUGUUUCUGGCGA